GAGGUCUCAAGCGUUGUUCGGAUUCAUUGGGCGUAAAGGGUGCGUAGGCGGCGCGGUAAGUCGGGUGUGAAAUCUCGGAGCUUAACUCCGAAACUGCAUUCGAUACUGCCGUGCUUGAGGACUGGAGAGGAGACUGGAAUUUACGGUGUAGCGGUGAAAUGCGUAGAUAUCGUAAGGAAGACCAGUGGCGGAGGCGGGUCUCUGGACAGUUCCUGACGCUGAGGCACGAAGGUCAGGGGAGCAAACGGGAUUAGAUACCCCGGUAGUCCUGACAGUAAACGGUGCACGUUUGGUGUGGGAGGAUUCGACCCCUUCUGCGCCGGAGCUAACGCGUUAAACGUGCCGCCUGGGGAGUACGGUCGCAAGAUUAAAACUCAAAGAAAUUGACGGGGGCCCGCACAAGCGGUGGAGUAUGUGGCUUAAUUCGAUGCAACGCGAAGAACCUUACCAGGCCUUGACAUGCAUUUCUAAGUUGGUGAAAGCCAGCGAGUCCCGGAAGGGACAACUUGCACAGGUGCUGCAUGGCUGUCGUCAGCUCGUGUCGUGAGAUGUUGGGUUAAGUCCCGCAACGAGCGCAACCCCUGUGAACUGUUGCCACGGAACCGAGAGGUUCCAGCACUCUGUUCAGACUGCCCCGCUUUAACGGGGAGGAAGGUGGGGACGACGUCAAGUCAGUAUGGCCCUUACGGCCUGGGCUGCACACGUACUACAAUGCCCAGCACAGAACGAUCCGAGACCGCAAGGUGGAGGAAAUCUCUAAAACUGG
rnacentral:rRNA from 1 species